CCGCAGUAGUCAUAUGCUUGUCUCAAAGAUUAAGCCAUGCAUGUCUAAGUACAGGCCGUAUUAUGGCGAAACCGCGAAUGGCUCAUUAAAUCAGUUAUGGUUCCUUGGAUCGUACUUUGUUACUUGGAUAACUGUGGCAAUUCUAGAGCUAAUACAUGCAGCAGAGCUCCGACCUUCGGGAACGAGCGCUUUUAUUAGACCAAAAUCAAUCGGGCCUUGUGUCCGUUGAACGUGGUGACUCUGUAUAACUUUUGGCUGAUCGCACGGGCUCGUCCCGGCGACGUAUCCUUCAAGUGUCUGCCUUAUCAACUGUCGAUGGUAGGUUAUGCGCCUACCAUGGUCGUAACGGGUGACGGGGAAUCAGGGUUCGAUUCCGGAGAGGGAGCCUGAGAAACGGCUACCACAUCCAAGGAAGGCAGCAGGCGCGCAAAUUACCCAAUCCCGGAACGGGGAGGUAGUGACGAAAAAUAACAAUACGGGACUCUUUUGAGACCCCGUAAUUGGAAUGAGUACACUCUAAAUCCUUUAACGAUUAUCAAUUGGAGGGCAAGCCAAGUGCCAGCAGCCGCGGUAACACUUGCUCCAAUAGCGUAUAUUAAAGUUGUUGCGGUUAAAAAGCUCGUAGUUGGAUCUCAGUUCUAGUCGGGCGGUCCGCCUUACGGCGGUAACUGCCCGUUCUGAACAGGCAAGCCGGUUUCCCUUGAUGAUCUUCACCGGUUGUCUCGGUUGACCGGCAAGUUUACUUUGAAUAAAUUAGAGUGCUCAAAGCAGGCGUGACGCCUGAACAAUGGUGCAUGGAAUAAUGGAAUAGGACCUCGGUUCUAUUUUGUUGGUUUUCGGAACACGAGGUAAUGAUUAAGAGGGACAGACGGGGGCAUUCGUACUGCGACGUUAGAGGUGAAAUUCUUGGACCGUCGCAUGACGAACUAUGAGAA
rnacentral:rRNA from 1 species